rnacentral:lncRNA from 1 species
UCACACUCCACCAAGCCCUCACUCUCUUAUUCUUCUCCAACAUCGCUGAAUCACCACCAUCCACCGGCACCAUUGUUUGCGCCGCCACGCAGAGGCCAGACGCCCGGACGGAUCCCUCAUCCCUCGCUUGUCGCCUCGCCUCAUCCCUCAUCCCUCAUCCCACGCAGAGGCCACGCAGAGUCGCAUAGCCCACCACCACGCAGUGAAGGUUCCUCGUCGACACCAGCCCACCACCCACGUCGGAGUACUCGACGAUUCACGGUACGCUGUUCACCUCCCCUGUUCUACGUUCGUCGACCGUCGCACUCGCCCCUGUUCUGCGUUUGUCGGCUGUCGCACUCGCCCCUGUUCUGCUUCACUGCGUUUGCCUCCCCUCCCCUGUUUGUCGCCCUUAUUCUUCACUGCCGAUCUGCUUCAAUUCUGUCCUGUUCUCUAAGGUAAGUUUUUUAAACAAAUUCAAAUAUUAACAAUUUUGGUAUGAAUUCUGCAUUUUUUGUUCUGAACUUCUGAUAUUAACUUUUUAAAAUCUUUUUAGUUUAGUUUAAAUCAUGCACAGAAUUAGUUAAUGAGAUUUGAUAUGUUCGAAAAAAAAUUAAACUGAUGCUACUUCAUGCUUUAAUAAGUUAGUAAAUUGAUGCUGCUUCAUGCUUCAUGCUUCAUGGUUAAAAUGUGUGGUACUGUGAUUUACUGGUUGUCUGGUUUAAACUGUUACUUAAUACUUACUUAGUUAGUGGUUUUUUUGUUAAUGUGUCUGAAUAUCUGAUUCUGACUGAAACUCUGAAGUCUGAAAUGUUAGUGUUACUGUAUUAGUUUAGUUAGUGUUAGUUAUGAAUUUAGUUAGUGGAUAAUCUGAAUCUGAAUUUGUUAUCUGGGUUGUUGAUUUUUAGGGAUCCACAACAAAAUUUAAUAGAGGAAGAAGAUGAACAUGUGAAUGAUGAUGAUGAUUUUGUUGGCCGUGUUAAACCUGAG